rnacentral:lncRNA from 1 species
ACUUUCUGUUCUUUGCUUGAUGGAAAAUUGACAGUGUUCAGAAGCUGAUACUUAAGAACAUAAUAUGAACUUACCAGGCCAAAGAGCUCUCAGGCCUCCUGAUUGUGCCAUUCCCUGGAUGCACUCUGCAGAGGCACAGGUGUUUGUAAAGUUCAUUUUACUGAGCUCCAGAAGAUAGAACGGAAGCGAACAACUGCAAUAAAGGCACAUCAGACCUCCAUAGUUGGAACUAUAUGAGUCAUCUUAUGGAAAAACAAUCCUACAAUCUUGACCCAAUGAGCAGAAGAGUAUAAUAGGAAGCAACAAAGGAUCUAACCAUCAUAUAUAUCAUGGGGUUCUCCAAAAUAUUUACUCUUGACAGACAUAUACACUGGCCACACUAAACCUCUUAUAGAAAUAAUUGAGUAUAAGAAGAGAGAACAUUGGCAGUUGUAUUUCUUACAUUUUCAAGAAGCUAUUUGUGAACUGCUCUUGUAGCUUAACAAGAC